rnacentral:rRNA from 1 species
GACGAACGCUGGCGGCGUGCUUAACACAUGCAAGUCGAACGGAAAGGCCCUGCUUUUGUGGGGUGCUCGAGUGGCGAACGGGUGAGUAACACGGGAGUAACCUGCCCAUGACUUUGGGAUAACUUCAGGAAACUGGGGCUAAUGCCCGAUUAGAGCUCCUGCUGCAAGGUGGGGGUUGGAAAGUUUCGGCGGUUGGGGAUGGACUGGAGGCUUAUCCGCCUGUUUGGGGGGUAGUGGCUUACCAAGGCUUUGACGGGUAGCCGGCCUGAGAGGGUGACCGGCCACAUGGGGACUGAGAUACGGCCCGCAGUCCUGCGGGAGGCAGCAGUGUGGAAUGUUGCACGAUGGGCGGAAGCCUGAUGCAGCAACGCCGCGUGCGGGAUGAUGGCCUUCGGUUUGUAGGCCGCUUUCUCCUGUGCCUAAGCGUGAGUGACGGUAAUGGGUAAAGAAGCACCGGCUAAUUACGUG